rnacentral:rRNA from 1 species
UUCCUACGGGGGGCAGCAGUGAGGAAUAUUGGUCAAUGGGCGGGAGCCUGAACCAGCCAAGCCGCGUGAGGGAAGAAGGUACAGCGUAUCGUAAACCUCUUUUGUCAGGGAACAAAGGCGGGGACUAGUCCCCGGAUGAGGGUACCUGAAGAAAAAGCAUCGGCUAACUCCGUGCCAGCAGCCGCGGUAAUACGGAGGAUGCGAGCGUUAUCCGGAUUUAUUGGGUUUAAAGGGUGCGCAGGCGGCGAGUUAAGUCAGCGGUAAAAUUUCGGGGCUCAACCCCGACAAGCCGUUGAAACCG